rnacentral:rRNA from 1 species
CAGUAGCCUCGGUAAAACGGAGGGGGCUAGCGUUGUUCGGAAUUACUGGGCGUAAAGCGCACGUAGGCGGCUUGGUAAGUUAGAGGUGAAAGCCCGGAGCUCAACUCCGGAAUUGCCUUUAAGACUGCCGAGCUAGUAGGUGAGAGAGGUAAGUGGAAUUCCGAGUGUAGAGGUGAAAUUCGUAGAUAUUCGGAAGAACACCAGUGGCGAAGGCGACUCUCUGGUCUGUAACUGACGCUGAGGAGCGAAAGCGUGGGGAGCGAACAGGAUUAGAUACCCCCGUAGUCCCUGUCUCUUAUAC